GCAGAAAUGAGUCAUGCCAUAAUAUGAAGACCUGGAGAUGAAUCAUUGAGGUGAAAAUGGAGAGUAUGGAAGUGAAGACACUGACUGGAACAUUGCUUCCUUUGAACAUGAAUGUGCAUCAAGCAUUAUCUCAAGUACAUUGUGAUGAGUCAUCCAAAGCCAGUGCUUCAUUUGAAAAUUUCCUCUGAGAGUUUAGGAGGUGGGAGCAGGUCCCCAGGCGUUGGAGGAGAUUUGCGGUAAUUUGGAGAAGAAGGGGAGACAAUCAAUUAGGAUUUCCCACCUUGAGUAAAGCGGGGAAGGAAGCAGUAGGUGAUUAAAAAAAAGACAUGAAGAAAUGUGCUAAGCUGGGAAAAUAGGAAGAGGGCGCUUUGGAGCACUGGAGGAAGAUGAAAUCGCCUGGAACAACCGGGAAGUGUCUCCUAUUAUGAUCAUUGAAUAUUAUUUUCUUUUGGGUCAGGGAGGGAAAGUGGGGGUAAGGAAUACAAUUCACAGACCUACAAAAAAUAUUGGCGUUUUGUUUUUUAGGCCUGUUUAUGUUGGAAAUAGCAACCUCCCAAGCCACUCACUAUUUGUUUUCUGAUAUAUAUAUGUAUUUGUUAACCUGUAUUCUAUGUGUAUGUUGAUUUGCCAGUUUGACUGACCUCUUUGGUGUGGGAGGGGUUAUAGACAUGUGAUUGUACUGAGCAUGUUCAGACUCAAGACUCCAUUUUGUAUUCACUAAGAGUGCGUUUGGUCUUCAAUGAAUUCAGGCGUAUGUGUCAUGUCCAGACCCCAUUGGAGGUUUGUUUUAUUCGUACACAUCUCCCUGCUGUACUGUUUGGCAUACAGAGAUACUGCCGAUGGGGAUGAAAAGGUGGAGAGAAAAAGAAGCCCCAAAGACAUCCAAGAAGACCAAACCAAGGAGAAAGCUCAGCACACGAACAUGGAUCAGAUACAUCCAGGCAGACACUUGGGUGGCCUGUGGGCUCUUCCUUCCUAGCCAGGAUUUGCCCCUUCUGUGCAUUAAAGAAAAUAUUUACAAACAUCUUUUUUUCCUUUUUUUAAUCAGUUUUUUUGUUGUCGUCUCUGUUGGUUAAAAAAUCUAAAUACAAGCAACGUGAACAAGGACUUAGGUGUGUUUCUGUGUCUGUAUUUAUGUGUAUUUUCGUGUCUCUGUGCAUUAUGUGUGUUUUCGGUGUGUGUGGGGGGGAAAAAACAGGCAGCCGACUGUGUUACAAUCACAUCCAUCCUUCUCCAAGAAAGAAAGAAACAAACAGAAGGGGGUGGAAUGGAAGAAAACAUUGUCGGAAACUAGUCUAAGUCUUAUUAUUAUAUUUUUUGUCUUUUUCUUUUUGUAGUGCUCAGUUUCGAAUGCAUAGAACGUUUGCUCUGCAAACAAUGAAUGGUACACACGAAAAGGACCAACCCAAAAUAUAGAUAUAUAUAGAUAUAUAUAGAUAUCUCAUUCGACACGCAUAAUAAAUUAUUAAACCAUAAAUAAAUCGAGAAGUCAAUAAAUAAAUAAAUUAACUAACAAAUAACACGUCCAUCCAUCCUCCCGAGACCUGAUCAUUGAAUCUUUCCAAGAUUUCCCUUCUUUUCUUUUCUUUUCUUUUCUUUUUUUUUUCUUUUCCAGGGCAUGCAUGCAUCAUUUCCAUCCUCCCCUCCCCCGACUUUUUCUCCCUUUUGGUGAUGAAAAACAAAAUUAAAGCAUUUCCUGUAAGAGAAAGAUCUGAAAAUUUGUCUUU
rnacentral:lncRNA from 11 species